rnacentral:tRNA from 1 species
GGGCGUGUGGUCUAGUGGUAUGAUUCUCGCUUUGGGUUAUUUACUCGAAUAUGUGAGAGGCCCUGGGUUCAAUUCCCAGUAUGCCCC